GAAAGAAAAACGGCUUUCGAAAGAUGUACCCGCAAGCAGCCUCGUCGCCGGCUGGGUGGAAGCGGCCCAGAAGGCAGCGGCGCCACGUGGAGGGAAGACGGCGCUCAGAGUCGGGUGCCAGGAUGAAUUGCUACAAGACCUAUAACUUGCGUUCAUGGCACAUACAAGAUUAUUCGUCAGUGAUGGAAAGCGGCUUUGGAUAAUUUGACCGAUUUCCUAGAACUGGCGCACAGGAAGACCAAUACAAUGAGUGGUUCAAGCCCAGCCACAGUCCGAGGCUGGAAAGAGGGUCCUUGUAGAAUACUUGACCUGCCUCUUAAAUUCCAUUGGGAGAUGGGACCAUCAUCCUAACCCAUGGAAGCAAGAGGAGUGUGAUGUAAAACGGAUUAUGCUGCAACGGGGCUGAAAGAAAAUCCACACAUGGACACCUGCUAUGGACACCCAGAAUGUGGAUAAUAGGUUCAAACAUGGGUAAAAAAAACUGAUGGAAGGCCUCUUAAAAAUCCAAGUGCCGUUUCUCUUAAUGCAUUGACAGUUGGCACAAAGAGCAGAACGUGGAAUAAGUCUACCAGGGUUUGAAAAGGUAUCUUGCCUUAUGAAAAGUACUUCUUAAAAAAAAAAAAUCUUGGUUUAAUAUUUUCCUGUAAGCUUAUUAUAAGGUAAUAAACACAUGACUGACCAUAA